rnacentral:sRNA from 1 species
AAAAAAUCCCCCCCAUUGGCCCGGGAAAGGCGGACAAAUUUCAACCAGCUUUUAUUCGAUUGGUUAAAACGAGUUAAUGCCCACCUUUGGCCAACUAAGAAAUAGUGGCAUAGAACCGUUUACAGAAAAUAUAAUAUGGACCACGUUCUUUUCAUAUGUAUUCAAUUUGGAGCCCUUAGCAUUAAAGAAACCCCCAAAUUCUAUCUCUGACUCCAGCUUAAAGCCGUCUAUGAAGAUCGGUGUCGGUGCCAGGUUCCCAAAUUAAUUGUUUAAACUGUAACGCGUUUCAGUGUAAAAUAGACUAAUACCCUGUUUACUACGAGUGUUACUAGUUGUAAGUCGGACCUGGUUUAUCCGGAAACCUCCAUUAUCCGGGAUUAUAAACACACCGUACCCCUAUAUAUAUACAGAAUUAUGAUCCAGGGUAUCGUUUGCCUUUUCAAGUGAAAGUUAUUCAGGUUAGCACCAUUCGAUCAUGUGUUCUAACCCUGAAGCUGCUAAGGUGAUUGAUAGAGGCCAAUUGAAUGUGGCGAAACCGGCUUGUUUUCUCCUGAGUCCCAGCUGGAUUUCAUUUACUCCUUUUCAAUAAUAACCUCCAUAAAUCUUUUUACCCAAAAUCAAUACCAGGUCAACAGGUCAACAAUACCCAAACAAAGUAUAAAAUCAAUACCGUUAUAUAUAGUUGCUCUUGAAUUGAAAUUCAACUAAAGCUUUAUUUCCUAAUGCUUCUAUUAAAAAUGCAUUUUCAAAUUACACACUGACAUUGGAUGAUUUUGAUAUUUU